CCUACGGGGGGCUGCAGUGGGGAAUAUUGGACAAUGGGCGAAAGCCUGAUCCAGCCAUACCGCGUGUGUGAAGAAGGCCUUCGGGUUGUAAAGCACUUUCAGUGGGGAAGAAAGCCUUGGGGCUAAUACCCUCGAGGAAGGACAUCACCCACAGAAGAAGCACCGGCUAACUCCGUGCCAGCAGCCGCGGUAAUACGGAGGGUGCGAGCGUUAAUCGGAAUUACUGGGCGUAAAGCGCGCGUAGGCGGUCUGAUAAGCCGGUUGUGAAAGCCCCGGGCUCAACCUGGGAACGGCAUCCGGAACUGUCAGGCUAGAGUGCAGGAGAGGAAGGUAGAAUUCCCGGUGUAGCGGUGAAAUGCGUAGAGAUCGGGAGGAAUACCAGUGGCGAAGGCGGCCUACUGGACUGACACUGACGCUGAGGUGCGAAAGCGUGGGUAGCAAACAGGAUUAGAUACCCCGGUAGUC
rnacentral:rRNA from 1 species